GCCGGGUGUGGUGGCUCACACCUGUAAUCCAAGCACUUUGGAGGCUAAGGCGAGCGGAUCACCUGAGGUCGGGAGUUCAAGACCAGCCUGACCAACAUGGUGAAACCCCAUCUUUU
ensembl:misc_RNA Metazoa_SRP Metazoan signal recognition particle RNA